rnacentral:rRNA from 1 species
UACAGAGGUCUCAAGCGUUGUUCGGAUUCAUUGGGCGUAAAGGGUGCGUAGGUGGCGCCAUAAGUCAGGUGUGAAAUCUCGGGGCUCAACCCCGAAACUGCAUUUGAUACUGUGGUGCUCGAGUACUGGAGAGGAGAUUGGAAUUUACGGUGUAGCGGUGAAAUGCGUAGAUAUUGUAAGGAAGACCAGUGGCGAAGGCGAAUCUCUGGACAGUUACUGACACUGAGGCACGAAGGCCAGGGGAGCAAACGGG